rnacentral:rRNA from 1 species
UACGUAGGGGGGCUAGCGUUGUCCGGAAUCAUUGGGCGUAAAGCGCGUGUAGGCGGCCUAGUGUGUCGGGCGUGAAAUCCCACGGCUCAACCGUGGAAGUGCACUCGAAACUGCAAGGCUGGAGUACUGGAGAGGAUGGUAGAAUGCUCGGUGUAGAGGUGAAAUUCGUAGAUAUCGAGCGGAAUACCGGUGGCGAAGGCGGCCAUCGUGGACAGUCACUGACGCUGAGACGCGAAAGCGUGGGGAGCGAACAGG